GUCUACAGCCAUGCUACCCUGAAGGUGCCUGAUCUUGUCUGAUCUCGGAAGCUAAGCAGGGUCGGGCCUGGUUACUACUUGGAUGGGAGACCACCUAGGAAGACCAGAUGCUAUAGGCC
rnacentral:rRNA from 1 species